rnacentral:other from 1 species
UUGAAUCUGCGGUGUACGGAGUCCGGGUCAAUCGUAAUCCACAUUAUUGAAUAGGGAGCCGUCAUUCGUGGCGAUAGGCAAGGUCUGUAUUUAUACGGAAAGUCCGAUGCGUCAAGAUGCGACACCCACCUGCUGAAAGCGGGUUAGCUUUUAUCCGGAAUGCGGCACAGGCGGAUUCCCA